GUAACAAGGUCUCCGUUGGUGAACCAGCGGAGGGAUCAUUACCGAGUUUACAACUCCCAAACCCCAAUGUGAACGUUACCAAUCUGUUGCCUCGGCGGGAUUCUCUGCCCCGGGCGCGUCGCAGCCCCGGAUCCCAUGGCGCCCGCCGGAGGACCAACUCAAACUCUUUUUUCUCUCCGUCGCGGCUUCCGUCGCGGCUCUGUUUUACCUUUGCUCUGAGCCUUUCUCGGCGACCCUAGCGGGCGUCUCGAAAAUGAAUCAAAACUUUCAACAACGGAUCUCUUGGUUCUGGCAUCGAUGAAGAACGCAGCGAAAUGCGAUAAGUAAUGUGAAUUGCAGAAUUCAGUGAAUCAUCGAAUCUUUGAACGCACAUUGCGCCCGCCAGUAUUCUGGCGGGCAUGCCUGUCCGAGCGUCAUUUCAACCCUCGAACCCCUCCGGGGGGUCGGCGUUGGGGAUCGGCCCCUCACCGGGCCGCCCCCGAAAUACAGUGGCGGUCUCGCCGCAGCCUCUCCUGCGCAGUAGUUUGCACACUCGCACCGGGAGCGCGGCGCGGCCACAGCCGUAAAACACCCCAAACUCUGAAAUGUUGACCUCGGAUCAGGUAGGAAUACCCGCUGAACCUAAGCAUA
rnacentral:misc_RNA from 1 species